rnacentral:rRNA from 1 species
ACGGAAGGCAGCAGUGGGGAAUAUUGGGCAAUGGGCGAAAGCCUGACCCAGCGACGCCGCGUGAAUGAAGAAGGUCUUCGGAUUGUAAAAUUCUUUUAUAUGGGACGAAACAAAUGACGGUACCAUAUGAAUAAGCCACGGCUAACUACGUGCCAGCAGCCGCGGUAAUACGUAGGUGGCAAGCGUUAUCCGGAUUUACUGGGUGUAAAGGGUGUGUAGGCGGGGAAGCAAGUCAGAUGUGAAAAUUAUGGGCUCGACUCAUAACCUGCAUUUGAAACUGUUUUUCUUGAGGGUCGGAGAGGUAACUGGAAUUCCCGGUGUAGCGGUGAAAUGCGUAGAUAUCGGGAGGAAUACCGGUGGCGAAGGCGGGUUACUGGACGAUUACUGACGCUGAUACACGAAAGUGUGGGGAGCAAACAGGAUUAGAUACCCUGGUA